rnacentral:lncRNA from 1 species
UACAAUGAGGACAUUGUAAUUUCUAAGUUUGGGGGAGUUUAGUUUAGUUCGUUAUUGCAUGUUUAGUUUCAUGUUUAUGUUAUGUUAUUUUGCAUAUGUUGUUAAUAUAGUUUAGGUUUUUUUUAUAAAAAAAAAAAAAUUCAAAAAUAAUAGUUAGUUACUAUGUUCAUUUUGCAUAAGUCCAGCGGUUUGUUAUAGUUAAGUUUAUUUUGGCCAAUGAUGAGAUUGGAAUUGGGUAGACAAGUAUAAUACUGACUAUUAGAGCUUUGAUGUGAUUUCUUGUUAUGAAUUGAAUCUUUUUAUGUUUGAAACUAGUAUAAUAAUGAUAACACAGUAAAAACAAGUUGUUGAUUGAUUGAGUUUAAAUUGAUACAUAAUGGGACUCUAAAGGAUAAUGCUAUUUUGAAUGAAAGAAUGACAAGAAUAAGUAGUGAUGACUAAAGUUAGACAAGAACAUAAGUUUGGGGGAAUAUAUAUGGCGUAUAUAAGCUUUAAAAAAAAGAAAAAAAAAAGAAAACAUGUUGAGUCUUGUGGUGGGUUGAGGAGAAACACUCCCCAUAAACACAAGUGUGAGAUGGAGCGUAAAACGCACUCACAAACCAUCUUUCAAAAGAAAAAGAAAA